ACCCAGCGCAGGAGCCAGUGGCCCGGCUGCAACACGAGACGGGCACGGGCUCAGGAAAGCUCCCCUGGCGCCCCCGCCCCCACUCUGUGGUUGUGCAAAAUGGUCAAUUACUUCGUCUGAAACAGAGGCCACGUCUGUUCUCCAAUGCUGUGCUUUGGGCGCGGCCUGAGACUAUCCGAUGUUUAAGUUGGUUCAGGUGGCCCAGGGAAAAGGCAAAACAGUACUUUCACAGACUGCAGAAAGCAUCUGAGAAUAAACGAACAUCUCAGAGGGAAGUGAACCAAGCUGAGAAGCUGAGGUCAUCCUUACUCUUUACAGCCUCUAUUCAGCAUGUGCGUGAUCCCAAAGAGUCUCUCCCUUCCUGUCACCCAGGACUUGGUUCAGGUGCACAUCCUCAUCUUGGCUUUCCCAGACGACUUCAAAACUACCCUGACACCAGGCAGCUCCUCAAGCCCACUCCACUCUCCACUCAAUGGAAGGAAGUUAGGUCAUUGGGGGUGCCCUUGAGGGAGCCACUGGGAUCCUGCCCCUUCCUGUCUCUCUUUGCUUCCCAGACACCAUGAGGUAAGCCGCUUUGUUCUGCUGCACACUCCUCACCAUGAUGUUCUGCUUUGCCACAGGCUCAAAAAACAUGAGGCAAAACGGACCAUGGACUGAAACUUCUGAAAUCGUGAGCCAAAAUAAUACUUUCCUCCUUAUAAGUUGGUCUGUCUCAGGUUUUGUCACAUUGAUGGAAAGUCCUGGUCACGACGGCAGCAGUGCUCAGCUUGUGUUUUUGCCAUGUACUGUGCUGUUGGUGAUUCCUCCCCUCUAGCCUUUUGCUCAAGCUGUUCCCUUUGCCUAAAAUGCCUUCUCCGCCCACCCCACCCUCUGGCUCUCUCUCCCUUUGCCUAUUUUCUACUUACUCUUGAAAACACUGUUCAGAUAUCACCUCAAAGAAAUCUAGCCUUCCCACACU
rnacentral:lncRNA from 1 species